GACGAACGCUGGCGGCGCGCUUAACACAUGCAAGUCGAACGGAAAGGCCUGCUUUCCCUUGUGGAUUGCGGGUACUCGAGUGGCGAACGGGGGAGUAACACGUGAGUGAUCUGCCCCCAACUUGGGGAUAAGCCUGGGAAACUGGGUCUAAUUCCCGAUAGGACUGCAGGGUGGUGCCUGUGUUGGAAAACGCGUUUCUAGUGGUGGGGGAUGAGCUCGCGGCCUAUCAGCUGGUUGGUGGGGUAAUGGCCUACCAAGGCGGCGACGGUUAGCCGGCCUGAGAGGGUGGACGGCCACAUUGGGACUGAGAUACGGCCCAGACUCCUACGGGAGGCAGCAGUGGGGAAUAUUGCACAAUGGGCGGAAGCCUGAUGCAGCGACGCCGCGUGGGGGAUGACGGCCUUCGGGUUGUAAACUCCUUUCGACCGCGAGGAAGCCACCUGGUUGGAAGGGUGGUGACGGUAGUGGUAGAAGAAGCACCGGCUAACUACGUG
rnacentral:rRNA from 1 species